CCAGGGCCAGGGCCCAAGCAGGGAGUGGCAUGGGGCCACGUGUGUGUUGCUCAUUCUGUUGUUUCCAGUGAAGCAAAGCAUCUAAGGUGGGUGUUAACAGCAGACAAGUGAUGGUUUGUGCAUUGAGGGGUCACUCGUGCCACCUCUAUCUCAAGCCACAUCCCUCAGGAGGGUCAAAAGAGGAGGUCAGUGUCUUUUGCUUCCAGUUUGUGUCCUUCUAAUCCCUCAGUGAGGAGUCUGGAAAGUUAAGCAACCUUUCCAAGCUCACAAGCCCAUGAAUGCAGAGCCCCAGGUCUGUCUGCCCCAGCAUCCUGUGAUGGUCGCCAAGGAGCUACCCAGUCCUGGUGCAUCUGCUUGCCACCCAGGAGAAAUCCAACCAGAGGAGUGAAAAAGAAGAAGCGCAAACAGAAGUGCCAAUACCCUCCACACACACCAACUAAAGAGGCUGCCUAGCCUAGGGUCUGCACCCAACGCCUGGUUUCCAUGCCAACAAGGCAGGUAAUGGGUGACUAAGAUUUGCAAGGUAAGAACUCGCGCAGAGGUAAUGCCAGGUGACUGUUUCAAGGAGCUAUCUAUCUUUGGCACUGUGGGGGUGGCUCUUUAAAUACACCCCAGGCAGCUCUCGCCCCAGCCCAGGGCCCUUGACGUAAGAGGAAUUCCAUCUGAGAUUACAGCGUGGCGCUGUUGUCACUCUGUGAGCAAUAUUCCAAUCUGUCCUGGAAAUCUGUGAAAUGGUCAGCAAAGAGACUGGCACGGAUCCUGAGCCAUCUUUGGAAAAUCUGUUUCAGGUCGUCCCCCUUCCCCUGCGAGGUUUCAAGGUCCUGAAAAGUCAGACCCGGGGGUCUCGCCGGCCCAGGAUUGAGGCUGCGCAUAGGAGUGUCCCAAACAGCGGCGAGGAUGGCAGGGCUCUGGCGGCCACAGAUCCUGGGCUCAGGCUCCGCGCAGGGGUCUGCACCCUCGGAGCCUCCCCCCACCCUCGCCCCUGCCCGAGCAGCCCCACCGCGGUACAGGGGCGCGGGUGCGAGUACUCACCGCACGCUCCGCCCCACCAUGUCCCACCA